GUCAGUGUAGAAAGCCCAGGCAUUGUCCCAUAGCUGGCCCUGUGUGUUUGCACUGAUUCCUCAGAAUAAGUUUGCAGAUAGCUUAACUUCCAGAAUUCCUGAGUUUCACUAGUCCCCCUUCUUUAUGAUGAAUUGGAAAAAGGGUAUAUUCUGGGAUAAAGCAAGAGGAAACUGGGUGCAGCAAAGAUCCCUAGACCAUUUUUCCCAGUGGCCCAUUGCUCCUGCUGCUUUUUUCAUACCAGCUGAAUCUCCCUAAACCCCACGUCUGCGGCAAAGUCUUCGUGGUGAAACAGGCAGUCUUCAGUACAAGAAGCGUCAAUCUCAGAUCUUACUCAUUUCCAACCUGUACCAAUCAAAGGCCCUCCCAGCCAAGAUAAAAGCAAAGUCUCCCUCCUCCAGAGCACAUGGGAAUGGCCCCCCAGUAGCUGGGGCAUGCAAGCUAAUGAAGUUUCAUCUUCCACCUCUAUCCAAAUAUGACCUUGCUGAUACCAUCUCCUAUUAGAUGACAAAUCCGGAUGUUUCUAUUGCAUGGUUGUUAUUUGCCACAUGCUUCCUGGACAAGUUUCUAGGUAACCUUAAUGUCUGUGCUUCUGGGGAAGGAGGAGUAGAAAAUAACUCACCUCUUCAGUAAGUGGUUUUAAAAAUAUAACAGUGUUUAAAAGCUUUUAGAGAGCAGCUCUCCUUCCGGCUGCUCCAGCUCUGUUUGCUUUGUGAUAGGAGCCCCCGUAACACUUCGUGCUUGGCAACAUCUGACGAGGACAGAAGGCAGGUUUAAAGCUGAGAAGAUUGAUUUUUCCUUUGUAGGGCUUUCCAUGAGGGGCGUGGGAGAGAAGUCACUUGGGGAAGCAGUGGUCAGUGAGGUUUACUUCUCCAUAUGCUCUGCAUUCAUGUGUAAGGCUAAACAAACGUGUUGUCUCCGCAAGCAAAUCCCACACCACAGAGAGGAGCAGUUUGUCCUGGAGGUCCUAAGGAGGUGACCAGUGACCUGGAGGGUAAAAGGUUGGGGCUCCUGAGACCUUUCUUCCAACUCUCAUUUCCAUCCUAAACUGGCAGGGGAAAUGUACCCAAAUUGCCUGUGUGUUUCGAUUUGAUGUGGACACACUGUGACCACUCAGGAUCGCUCUGGUGCUGCUGAACUCCAUGGUUCAUAUUAGGCCCGACUGUCUAGUUUUAGAAAGUGGGAGGAGAUUUCCCCUCUGCCAGGGCUUGGGGUUUAUGUUCCCCAGAGCAUUGAGCAAGAGCCUCAUGUUUACAGAAAUCUCAGGCCCCAUGAUUUCUUCCUGUCAGGGUAGAAGGAGAAGGAGUAGGCACAGACUGUGGAGUAGAUCUUGCCACUUCAGUCCCUUUGUUCUUGCCCAGCAUGAGGUUACCAAGGAAAGGAUACCUGGGGCGCUGGGGGUGAGGCCAGCUGCCAUGUGUCAGGACACUCAGGCAGCCUGUGGAAAGCUGCACAUGGUGAGGAACAGAGGGCUCCAGUCAAACGACCAAUGCCAACAACCAUGUAAGUGAGCUUGGAAGUGGAUUCCCCAGCCCCUGUCAAGCCUUGAGACAACUGCCAUCCCAGUCAAUAGCUUGGUUGCAACCUUGUAUGAGAUCCUGAACUCAAACCAUCCAACUAAGCUGCUCCUAGAAACUGUGUGAGAUAAUAAAUGCUUGUUGUUUUAAG
rnacentral:lncRNA from 1 species